GCUGCACACGCUACUACGGAAUAUAGGAUGAAAGGAUAUUUGGCGGACCAAAUUAGUCACUUUCUUGCAGAAAGUUCAUCAAGUAUAUUGCAGAUCGCGAUGUCGUUGCUAAACUGUUGUUUUAUUACGUACAUAGUAUGCAUAGUCAAGCACAGUGGGCUGGCAUAAAGCGUAGAGGGUUAUGCGUUGGGCAGCCUCUACGUCUCGCUACCGCUGUCGCCGAUCUCGUGAAAAAUUCAUCUCGUGAGCUGUGGUUAUCACAGCGCGACUAUUUUCGCUGGGGGAUCGUUGAUAAGUUCCAACGCUGGCGAAAACGAGGCGCAGAUGCGAAGCGCGCCAGCCGGCACGGAUCAGAUGGCUGUCAACGCUGUC
rnacentral:lncRNA from 1 species